GGACCCGCACAAGCAGUGGAGUAUGUGGUUUAAUUCGAAGCAACGCGAAGAACCUUACCGGGGCUUGACAUCCCUCUGACAGGUAUAGAGAUAUACCUUUCCUUCGGGACAGAGGAGACAGGUGGUGCAUGGUUGUCGUCAGCUCGUGUCGUGAGAUGUUGGGUUAAGUCCCGCAACGAGCGCAACCCUUGUCGUUAGUUGCCAUCAUUAAGUUGGGCACUCUAGCGAGACUGCCGGUGACAAAUCGGAGGAAGGUGGGGACGACGUCAAAUCAUCAUGCCCCUUAUGUCCCGGGCUACACACGUACUACAAUGGCCAUUACAGAAGGAAGCGAAGCCGCAAGGCGGAGCAAAUCCCCAAAGAUGGUCCCAGUUCGGAUUGUGGGCUGCAACUCGCCCACAUGAAGUAGGAAUUGCUAGUAAUUGCAGGUCAGCAUACUGCAGUGAAUACGUUCCCGGGUCUU
rnacentral:rRNA from 1 species